UACAGAGGUCUCAAGCGUUGUUCGGAUUCAUUGGGCGUAAAGGGUGCGUAGGCGGCGCGGUAAGUCGGGUGUGAAAUCUUGGAGCUUAACUCCGAAACUGCACUCGAUACUGCCGUGCUUGAGGACUGGAGAGGAGACUGGAAUUUACGGUGUAGCGGUGAAAUGCGUAGAUAUCGUAAGGAAGACCAGUGGCGAAGGCGGGCCUCUGGACAGUUCCUGACGCUGAGGCACGAAAGCUAGGGGAGCGAACGGG
rnacentral:rRNA from 1 species